AUGCUUGUUGAGACAAACAAGCAUGAACAAUACUAUAUUGUUUACAAGCUUCUUAAAUUGGUAUUAAUUCUGCCAGUAGCUACUGCUAGUGUUGAAAGGGUGUUCUCUUCAAUGAACUAUGUGAAGAAUAAGCUAAGGGGCAAAAUGGGUGAUGAUUACUUGAAUAAUUGUUUGGUUACAUUUGUUGAGAGAGAAUUCUUCAAUCAAGUAAAGGAUGAGAAUGUCAUCAAUCUCUUCCAAAAAGGCGAUCGCAAAGUUAUAUUGUAA
rnacentral:rRNA from 1 species